rnacentral:rRNA from 1 species
UACGUAUGGGGCAAGCGUUAUCCGGAUUUACUGGGUGUAAAGGGAGCGUAGGCGGCGGGGCAAGCCUGAUGUGAAAGCCCGGGGCUCAACCCCGGGACUGCAUUGGGAACUGCCCUGCUGGAGUGCCGGAGGGGCAGGCGGAAUUCCUAGUGUAGCGGUGAAAUGCGUAGAUAUUAGGAGGAACACCAGUGGUGAAGGCGGCCUGCUGGACGGUGACUGACGCUGAGGCUCGAAAGCGUGGGGAGCAAACAGG